AUGGCCGCCGCCGACGAGCACCACGAGGAGGCCAGCCCCCUCCUGCCCCCGCCCGCCGACGAGAAGCUCCCCCCGGCGCAGGAUCCCGUCAAGGGCUGUGCCGAUGGGGUCCCCGUCGUCAUGGGCGAGCCGGUCGUCGCCCCCGCCGGCGCCGCGCCGCGUGAAAGCUGGGACUCGGGGAUCCUCUCCUGCCUCGGCCGCAACGACGAAUUCUUCAGCAGCGACCUCGAAGUCUGUCUACUUGGAAGUGUAGCGCCAUGUGUUCUCUAUGGUAGCAAUGUUGAGAGGCUUGCAGCAGCACCAGGAACUUUUGCAAACAGCUGCUUGCCUUACACUGGCCUCUAUAUGCUCGGGAAUUCUCUCUUUGGGUGGAACUGCCUAGCCCCAUGGUUCUCUCAUCCCACUCGUACAGCUAUUCGUCGAAGAUACAAUCUUGAGGCAAGAUUUCUCUCAUUCUGCAUUGGUAGCUUUGAGGCUUUCACUAGGCAAUGUGGGUGCUGCGGUGGCCUUGCUGAGGACGAGGAGAGGCGUGAGCACCUGGAGGUCGCCUGCGACCUAGCUACCCACUACUUCUGCCACCCUUGCGCCCUCUGCCAAGAGGGGCGCGAGCUGCGCCGCAGGGUUCCCCACCCUGGCUUAUACGGGCGCUCCGUCAUCGUCAUGAUGCCACCCACGGAGCAGACUAUGGGGCGCGCCAUGUGA
rnacentral:rRNA from 1 species